rnacentral:rRNA from 1 species
GAGGAAAAGAAACCAACUGGGAUUACCUUAGUAACGGCGAGUGAAGCGGUAAAAGCUCAAAUUUGAAAUCUGGUACUUUCAGUGCCCGAGUUGUAAUUUGUAGAAUUUGUCUUUGAUUAGGUCCUUGUCUAUGUUCCUUGGAACAGGACGUCAUAGAGGGUGAGAAUCCCGUUUGGCGAGGAUACCUUUUCUCUGUAAGACUUUUUCGAAGAGUCGAGUUGUUUGGGAAUGCAGCUCAAAGUGGGUGGUAAAUUCCAUCUAAAGCUAAAUAUUGGCGAGAGACCGAUAGCGAACAAGUACAGUGAUGGAAAGAUGAAAAGAACUUUGAAAAGAGAGUGAAAAAGUACGUGAAAUUGUUGAAAGGGAAGGGCAUUUGAUCAGACAUGGUGUUUUUUGCAUGCACUCGCCUCUCGUGGGCUUGGGCCUCUCAAAAAUUUCACUGGGCCAACAUCAAUUCUGGCAGCAGGAUAAAUCAUUAAGAAUGUAGCUACUUCGGUAGUGUUAUAGCUUUUUGGAAUACUGUUAGCCGGGAUUGAGGACUGCGCUUCGGCAAGGAUGUUGGCAUAAUGGUUAAAUGCCGCCCGUCUUGAA